rnacentral:piRNA from 1 species
UUCGAAGUGAUCUACGUGACCAGCCAUGGC